rnacentral:rRNA from 1 species
UAUCAGCUUUGGAUGGUAGUGUAUUGGACUACCAUGGCAGUCACGGGUAGCGGAGAAUUAGGGUUCGAUUCCGGAGAGGGAGCCUGAGAAACGGCUACCACAUCUACGGAAGGCAGCAGGAGCGAAAAUUGCCCAAUCCCGACACGGGGAGGCAGUGACGAGAAAUAACAACUCUUGGUUAUUCUAAGAAGUGUAAUGAGGAUAAUUUAAAACCCUUACCGAAAGCAAUUGGAGGGCAAGUCUGGUGCCAGCAGCCGCGGUAAUUCCAGCUCCAAUAGCGUAUAUUAAAGUUGUUGCAGUUAAAAAGCUCGUAGUUGAAGUUCUGGCUGCUUGACCCUCGAGCUCUGUAGCCGAGGGCCCAGCAGUCAUCCGCUUGCAAAUAUAUGUUCGCCUUUAACCGGGCGGCUAUAUGAGUAAGCAUUUUACCUUGAGAAAAACAGAGUGUUCCAGGCAGGUUUGUCCGGAAUGCAUUAGCAUGGAAUAAUAGAAUAUGACUGAAGUCGAUUUAUUGGUUUGAGGCUUUAGUAAUGAUUAAUAGGAACAGUCGGGGGCAUUGGUACUUGUCAGUCAGAGGUGAAAUUCUAGGAUUUGACAUAGACUAACAAAUGCGAAAGCAUUUGCCAAGGAUGUUUUCAUUAAUCAAGAACGAAAGUUAGGGGAUCAAAGACGAUCAGAUACCGUCCUAGUCUUAACUAUAAACUAUACCGACUCGGAUUCAGAUGAAUCAUAAAGUUCAUUUGGGACCGUAGGAGAAAUCAAAGUUUUUGGGUUCUGGGGGAAGUAUGGUCGCAAGGCUGAAACUUAAAGGAAUUGACGGUUUUGCACCACCAUGGAGUGGAGUCUGCGGCUUAAUUUGACCCAACACUGGGAAACUCAUCAGGGCAAGAAGAUUGUAGGAUUGACAGAUUGAGAGUUCUUUCUUGAUUGGUCUAUUGGUGGUGCAUGGCCGUUCUUAGUUGGUGGAGUGAUUAGUCUGGUUAAUUCCGUUAACGAACGAGACCUUAACCUGCUAACUAGUACACCGAUGACAAAUCGGUGAUACUUCUUAGAGGGACUAUGUGAUGUAAUCACAUGGAAGUUUGAGGCAAUAACAGGUCUGUGAUGCCCUUAGAUGUCCUGAGCUGCACGCGUACUACAAUGGUGCUUUCAUCGAGCUUUUCCUGAUCCGAAAGGAUUUGGGUAAUCUUUUUAGUGAGCACCGUGCUUGGGAUAGAUCUUUGUAAUUAUGGAUCUUGAACUAGGAAUUCCUAGUAAGCACGUGUCAUCAGCACGU